rnacentral:ribozyme from 1 species
UGCCCAGCUACUCCUAUCCCUACCUCCACGCGGUACCGGCCGGAAACUAUGAGCAACCUUAAGGAAGAUCGGGUAACCAACCCCGGUGGGAACUUUGGUCGUAGGCUGACAGGGAAGG